UACGAAGGGGGCUGGCGUUGCUCGGAAUCAUUGGGCGUAAAGCGCGUGUAGGCGGCCCGGUAAGUCCGCUGUGAAAGUCGGGGGCUCAACCCUCGAAUGCCGGUGGAUACUGUCGGGCUAGAGUGCGGGAGAGGCGAGUGGAAUUCCUGGUGUAGCGGUGAAAUGCGCAGAUAUCAGGAGGAACACCAAUUGCGAAGGCAGCUCGCUGGAACGUAACUGACGCUGAGACGCGAAAGCGUGGGGAACAAACAGG
rnacentral:rRNA from 1 species